rnacentral:rRNA from 1 species
UUGGAGGGCAAGUCUGGUGCCAGCAGCCGCGGUAAUUCCAGCUCCAAUAGCGUAUAUUAAAGUUGUUGCAGUUAAAAAGCUCGUAGUUGAAUUUCGAGACCGGUUUACUGGUCGUGCUUUUGUACGUACUGGUAUUAUUGGUUUCUCCUUUCUGACGAAUCUUAAUGCCAUUAAUUUGGUGUUUUGGGGAAUCAGGACUGUUACUUUGAAAAAAUUAGAGUGUUUAAAGCAGGCUUUUGUCUGAAUAUAUUAGCAUGGAAUAAUGAAAUAGGACGGCAUGGUUCUAUUUUGUUGGUUUCUAGGAUCACCGUAAUGAUUAAUAGGGAUAGUUGGGGGCAUUAGUAUUCAAUUGUCAGAGGUGAAAUUCUUGGAUUUAUUGAAGACUAACUUCUGCGAAAGCAUUUGCCAAGGAUGUUUUCAUUAAUCAAGAACGAAAGUUAGGGGAUCGAAGACGAUUAGAUACCGUCGUAGUCUUAACCAUAAACUAUGCCGACUAGGGAUCGGACGAUGUUAAUUUUUUAAUGACUCGUUCGGCGCCUUACGGGAAAC